CCUACGGGUGGCAGCAGUGAGGAAUAUUGGUCAAUGGUCGGGAGACUGAACCAGCCAAGCCGCGUGAGGGAUGAAGGUACAGUGUAUCGUAAACCUCUUUUGUCAGGGAACAAAGGCGGGGACGUGUCCCCGGAUGAGUGUACCUGAAGAAAAAGCAUCGGCUAACUCCGUGCCAGCAGCCGCGGUAAUACGGAGGAUGCGAGCGUUAUCCGGAUUUAUUGGGGUUAAAGGGUGCGUAGGGGGUCUGUUAAGUCAGCGGUGAAAGUCCGCGGGUCAACCGCGGGCCCGCCGUUGAAACUGGCAGUCUCGAGUUGGAGAGAGGUAUGCGGAAUGCGCGGUGUAGCGGUGAAAUGCAUAGAUAUCGCGCAGAACACCGAUUGCGAAGGCAGCAUGCCAGCUCCACACUGACGCUGAGGCACGAAAGCGUGGGUAUCGAACAGGAUUAGAUACCCUAGUAGUC
rnacentral:rRNA from 1 species